UCUCCUCCUCCUCGCUCUCUCCACCACCACUGUAACCGCUCGUCCGUGCCGCACCUUCAUCAUCUCCUCCUACUCCAUCCGCAACCCAUCCACCAACGCCUUCGCCACCAUCACCGAGAUCCGAUCCAUCUCCCCUCUCUUCAUAAACGACAACACCAAACCCUUCGAAAUCCUCCUCGAUCGCCCCGUUCAACACCAAACCCACUCCCAAAGCGCGUCUCAUCCACGCGGCCCCUUAGGUUUAGGGUUUUCCACC
rnacentral:lncRNA from 1 species